GAGGUGCACGUGCCCCCUUUCAAGGAUAUUCUGACCGUCGACAUGAGCUGUUGCUGGCCCUUGAAAGGGGGCACGUGCACGCUCUGUUUACACAUCCACUCACACCUGUGCACCCUCUGUAGUUCUAUGGCCUUGGGGACCCUGUUCCCUUGCUGUGGUCCUACGUCUUUACACACACACUGUAACAAAGUCUCAUGGAAUGCAUGCCGCGUUUAACGCAAUACAAUACAACUUUCAGCAACGGAUCUCUUGGCUCUCGCAUCGAUGAAGAACGCAGCGAAAUGCGAUAAGUAAUGUGAAUUGCAGAAUUCAGUGAAUCAUCGAAUCUUUGAACGCACCUUGCGCCCUUUGGCUAUUCCGAAGGGCAUGCCUGUUUGAGUAUCAUGAACACCUCAACUCUCAUGGUCUGCCAUGAUGAGCUUGGACUUUGGGGGCCUUGCCGGCCAAGUGUCGGCUCCUCUCAAAUGGAUCAGCUUGCCAGUGUUUGGUGGCGUCACAGGUGUGAUAACUAUCUACGCUUGUGGUUCCCUGCCAUGUAACCUUCAGUGAUGGAGGUUCGCUGGAGCUCACAGAUGUCUCACCCUGGGAGGACAACUCUUUGAACGUUGAUCUCAAAUCAGGUAGACACCCCGAACG
rnacentral:rRNA from 1 species